CAAAUGUUAUGAUCUCUGUGUUAUAUGAGAUACUAUCCCUAAAGUAAAACUAGCUUUAGGGAAGUGGGGAUACUUGCUUUAAAUCAGUAGUACUUUUCACAUUGCCGCUUUUAUAAUCUUACCUGUGGGGCAAUAUGAGCUUAUUUAUGUAGUUUUGCAGUGACAGGCUGAUUAGUAGGGGUUUCUUCUUAAAAGUACUUUUCUGUACAGUUUUUGUAUUUUACCCAUGCUGUAGAAAGUUGAGCAUGCAGUUCACGGAGGUCUGCAUUGUUAGCCAAAAUGUUAGCAGUCAGUAUCUACUUGGAUAAAUAAUCUGCUGUGCAUAUUUUAACUUCAGGAAGCCAAAACUCCAGAUGGCUCCUCUGGCAUCCAGGAUAUAUGGUGGCACCUGAAUGGACUCUCUUUUAGGGGAUGGGAGCAAAUUCCCUGGUACUGCUGGAACCUAAGAUACUGGUGAUGCUUUGAUCUCUUACUCUUCCUGUGUGUUAUGGCUGAGGCUUGACAAGAACAAAGUAGUUUCUCACAACAGUUACAGCUCAUUUUGCCAGCACAAGGAGCCCAGCACUUGGUGUCCUUCUUCCCUCCCUUGGCUGACUGCAUGCGUGGAAGCAGAAGCGCUUAGGCCAAAGGCUGAGGCAGACCACAUGGAAAAUUAAAGGGAAAAAGAAGUGCUCAAGUUCUUGAGUUCAGCACUGACCUUCUGGGGGACUGAACAUUCAUGAUAGUCUCUCACGUGAAAUGCAAAGCAGAAAUGUCUUCCUGCCAUUCAAACAGGAGGGAUUGCUUCCAUCCUUUCCCUUUCAUUCAGCAUUUAUUCUGAAACCUAAUGAUGGCAGCUGGGGAUGGGGGUUGUGUUCUUGUUCUGAAGCACCGUUUGGUGGAGCCUGUCAAUCCCAGUGAUCUGCUGAGGAUACAAGAAUGUUUUUCUCUCCAUCUUAGAG